rnacentral:rRNA from 1 species
GAUCCUGGCUCAGGAUGAACGCUGGCGGCGUGCUUAACACAUUCAAGUCGAACGGAGUCUUUUUGGAAGCUUGCUUCCGGGAAGACUUAGUGGCGGACGGGUGAGUAAUGCAUGAGCAACCUGCCUUCAGAGGGGGAGUAACAUCGGGAAACCGGGUAGGCUAAUACCGCAUAGAGCAUUUUGUCAGGCAUCUGCGAGAUGGGAAAGGAGCAAUCCGCCCUGGAGAUGGGCUCAUGU